GACGGAGGGUGCUAGCGUUGUUCGGAAUUACUGGGCGUAAAGGGCGCGUAGGCGGCCGUUUGCGUCGGAUGUGAAAGCCCGGGGCUCAACCCCGGAACGGCAUCCGAUACGGGACGGCUGGAGACCGGGAGAGGAGGGUGGAAUAGCCAGUGUAGAGGUGAAAUUCGUAGAUAUUAGCUAGAACACCAGUGGCGAAGGCGGCCAACUGGUCCGGUACUGACGCUGAGGUGCGAAAGCGUGGGGAGCAAACAGG
rnacentral:rRNA from 1 species